rnacentral:ribozyme from 13 species
AGUUCGGGAGAGGAAAGUCCGAUCUUCAAAGGGGAGACGUUGCAAGAUGACAU